AGAAGCUUCAUCCAACCGUGUGCUCAAAAGUGAAGUCCCCAUGAUUAAACACUGGAGGCUCUAUAGGAAGCGGGGGGAGCUUCCAGGAGACUCUUGAGCACUCCCUGUCUCGUGACACAUGGUACCCUGGAGAGCUUGGGACUCUGCUGGCAGAAAGGCCAUCAACAGGCAUGACCUGUCACCUCCCACCAAAACUCAUUUUACUGGCACUGGGAGUUGAUGCGAUCCUGAGAAAGAAAGAGGAAUCAGGAGGAGGAGAGGAGAUAGAAGAGGAACAAAACCAUCACAAGCCACAGAAUAUUUUUAUAAAUUCCAACAAAGAGAAUUAAUAAAGGGUACUCAUAAUAAUCAAGCAUACUAAUGUAAGUUUAACUCCUUUUCUAUACACCAGCAGGA
rnacentral:lncRNA from 1 species